UACAAGAGGAUAUACAGGGGACCCCCUC
rnacentral:piRNA from 1 species